UACGUAGGGUGCGAGCGUUAAUCGGAAUUACUGGGCGUAAAGCGUGCGCAGGCGGUCUGUUAAGACCGAUGUGAAAUCCCCGGGCUUAACCUGGGAACUGCAUUGGUGACUGGCAGGCUUUGAGUGUGGCAGAGGGAGGUAGAAUUCCACGUGUAGCAGUGAAAUGCGUAGAGAUGUGGAGGAACACCGAUGGCGAAGGCAGCCUCCUGGGCCAACACUGACGCUCAUGCACGAAAGCGUGGGGAGCAAACAGG
rnacentral:rRNA from 1 species